rnacentral:rRNA from 1 species
CCUACGGGAGGCAGCAGUGGGGAAUAUUGCACAAUGGGCGAAAGCCUGAUGCAGCAACGCCGCGUGAGGGACGACGGCCUUCGGGUUGUAAACCUCUUUUAGUAGGGAAGAAGCGAAAGUGACGGUACCUGCAGAAAAAGCACCGGCUAACUACGUGCCAGCAGCCGCGGUAAUACGUAGGGUGCAAGCGUUGUCCGGAAUUAUUGGGCGUAAAGAGCUCGUAGGCGGUUUGUCGCGUCUGCUGUGAAAACCCCGAGGCUCAACCUCGGACCUGCAGUGGGUACGGGCAGACUAGAGUGCGGUAGGGGAGAUUGGAAUUCCUGGUGUAGCGGUGGAAUGCGCAGAUAUCAGGAGGAACACCGAUGGCGAAGGCAGAUCUCUGGGCCGUAACUGACGCUGAGGAGCGAAAGCAUGGGGAGCGAACAGGAUUAGAUACCCUGGUAGUCCAUGCCGUAAACGUUGGGAACUAGAUGUAGGGACCAUUCCACGGUUUCUGUGUCGCAGCUAACGCAUUAAGUUCCCCGCCUGGGGAGUACGGCCGCAAGGCUAAAACUUAAAUGAAUUGACGG